rnacentral:rRNA from 1 species
UGGGGAAUUUUGGACAAUGGGGGCAACCCUGAUCCAGCAAUGCCGCGUGUGUGAAGAAGGCCUUCGGGUUGUAAAGCUCUUUUACCAGGGACGAUAAUGACGGUACCUGGCGAAUAAGCCCCGGCAAACUUCGUGCCAGCAGCCGCGGUAAUACGAAGGGGGCUAGCGUUGUUCGGAAUUACUGGGCGUAAAGAGCACGUAGGCGGGUCGUUAAGUCAGGGGUGAAAUCCCAGAGCUCAACUCCGGAACUGCCUUUGAUACUGGCGACCUAGAGUCCGGAAGAGGUUAGUGGAAUUCCCAGUGUAGAGGUGAAAUUCGUAGAUAUUGGGAAGAACACCAGUGGCGAAGGCGGCUAACUGGUCCGGUACUGACGCUGAGGAGCGAAAGCGUGGGGAGCGAA